rnacentral:rRNA from 1 species
UACGUAGGGUGCAAGCGUUGUCCGGAAUUAUUGGGCGUAAAGAGCUCGUAGGCGGUCUGUCGCGUCUGCUGUGAAAACUCAGGGCUUAACCCUGAGCUUGCAGUGGGUACGGGCAGACUAGAGUGCGGUAGGGGAGACUGGAAUUCCUGGUGUAGCGGUGAAAUGCGCAGAUAUCAGGAGGAACACCGGUGGCGAAGGCGGUUCUCUGGGCCUUACCUGACGCUGAGGAGCGAAAGCAUGGGGAGCAAACAGG